ACUGAACGCUGGCGGCAUGCCUCACACAUGCAAGUCGAACGGUAACAGGUCUUCGGAUGCUGACGAGUGGCGAACGGGUGAGUAAUACAUCGGAACGUGCCUAGUAGUGGGGGAUAACUACUCGAAAGAGUGGCUAAUACCGCAUGAGAUCUACGGAUGAAAGCAGGGGAUCGCAAGACCUUGUGCUACUAGAGCGGCCGAUGGCAGAUUAGGUAGUUGGUGGGAUAAAAGCUUACCAAGCCGACGAUCUGUAGCUGGUCUGAGAGGACGAUCAGCCACACUGGGACUGAGACACGGCCCAGACUCCUACGGAAGGCAGCAGUGGGGAAUUUUGGACAAUGGGCGCAAGCCUGAUCCAGCAAUGCCGCGUGCAGGAUGAAGGCCUUCGGGUUGUAAACUGCUUUUGUACGGAACGAAAAGCCCUGGGUUAAUACCCUGGGGUCAUGACGGUACCGUAAGAAUAAGCACCGGCUAACUACGUGCCAGCAGCCGCGGUAA
rnacentral:rRNA from 1 species